rnacentral:rRNA from 1 species
GAUUAACGCUGGCGGCGUGCAUAACACAUGCAAGUCGAACGAUGAAACUUUUUUGAUUUCUUCGGAAUGAUUAAAAGUGGAUUAGUGGCGGACGGGUGAGUAACGCGUGAGUAACCUGCCUUAGAGAAGGGGAUAGCCUUUGGAAACGAAGAAUAAUACCCUAUGAAACCAUAACCUCGCAUGAGGCCUUGGUCAAAGAUUUAUCGCUCUAAGAUGGACUUGCGUCUGAUUAGUUAGUUGGUGGGGUAACGGCCCACCAAGACAGCGAUCAGUAGCCGGCUUGAGAGAGUGUACGGCCACAUUGGGACUGAGACACGGCCCAGACUCCUACGGGAGGCAGCAGUGGGGAAUUUUGCACAAUGGGGGAAACCCUGAUGCAGCGACGCCGCGUGAUUUAGAAGGCCUUCGGGUUGUAAAAAUCUUUUCUAUGGGAAGAAAAUGACAGUACCAUAGGAAUAAGGACCGGCUAAUUACGUGCCAGCAGCCGCGGUAAUACGUAAGGUCCGAGCGUUGUCCGGAAUCAUUGGGCGUAAAGGGUACGUAGGCGGGUAAGCAAGUUAGAAGUGAAAUCCUAUAGCUCAACUAUAGUAAGCUUUUAAAACUGCUCAUCUUGAGGUAUGGAAGGGAAAGUGGAAUUCCUAGUGUAGCGGUGAAAUGCGCAGAUAUUAGGAGGAAUACCGGUGGCGAAAGCGACUUUCUGGCCAUAACCUGACGCUGAGGUACGAAGCGUGGGUAGCAAACAGGAUUAGAUACCCUGGUAGUCCAAGGGCGAAUUCCACAGUGGAUAUCAAGCUUAUCGAUACCGUCGACCUCGAGGGGGGGCCCGGUACUACAGCUUUUGUUCCCUUUAUGAGGGUUA